rnacentral:rRNA from 1 species
GUGCCAGCAGCCGCGGUAAUACGUAGGGCGCGAGCGUUGUUCGGAAUUAUUGGGCGUAAAGGGCUCGUAGGCGGUUUGUCGCGUCUAGCGUUUAAGGCUCGGGCUUAACCCGGGUUUGCGUUGGGUACGGGCAGGCUUGAGUGCGGUAGGGGUAACUGGAAUUCCUGGUGUAGCGGUGGAAUGCGCAGAUAUCAGGAGGACACCGGUGGCGAAGGCGGGUUACUGGCCGUUACUGACGCUGAGGAGCGAGAGCGUGGGGAGCGACAGGAUUAGAUACC